UACGUAGGGUGCGAGCGUUGUCCGGAUUUAUUGGGCGUAAAGAGCUCGUAGGCGGUUUGUCGCGUCGGCCGUGAAAUCUCCACGCUUAACGUGGAGCGUGCGGUCGAUACGGGCAGACUUGAGUUCGGUAGGGGAGACUGGAAUUCCUGGUGUAGCGGUGAAAUGCGCAGAUAUCAGGAGGAACACCGGUGGCGAAGGCAGCACUCUGGGACGUGACUGACGCUGAGACGCGAAAGCGUGGGGAGCAAACAGG
rnacentral:rRNA from 1 species